GCACCGAUAGUCAAGUGGUUACGAUGCUACCCUCCCAUGCCCAUUUCAUAUGAGAUUAGGUAGCGGCCCGGGUUCGAAUCCCGGUCGGUGCA
rfam:Penicillium oxalicum 114-2 unplaced genomic scaffold scaffold_5, whole genome shotgun sequence.